AGUUAUCAAAAGAAGCGUGACCCUAACCGCGACCUGCCGGUAGAACCAACACUAUCAAGUUCUAAUCCAAGAACAAAGGUGAAGCUCUCACAUAAGAGAAACCCUCAAAUUUCAUUCAUGCGUCCUCCCCCUCUCAAGUACAAUCAGGUGCUAUUUUAAGGCUGAAAUGGCUUCAAAGAGAAGCAAGUCCUAGGAAAUUACAUAGCACUACUUGUCAUGCAUUUUCCAAGGCUGCAUUUACCAAGGCUUGGAAAAGAUGCAUGUUACACCUACUCCUAGAAAAGUAACCAGAACUUAGGAAAAAGAUUCCAAAGUAAUUAUAGUGACUUUGGGAACUACAAGAAAGUCUGAAUGUGACUUGGGGAAUACAAAACAUCAUCU
rnacentral:lncRNA from 1 species